rnacentral:rRNA from 1 species
AUGGUUACCUCACCGCCGCUCCGUCACGUGGCCAUGCUCCCCUUCAUGGCGAAAGGCCACGCCAUGCCGCUCCUCCACCUCGCGCAUCUCCUUCUUGGCCGCCGCCUCGCCUCGGCCGUCACCUUCUUCACCACCCCGCGCAACGCGCCCUUCAUCCGCGCGGGCCUCGCUGGUGCCGGCGCCGGCGCCGCGGUCGUCGAGCUUCCGUUCCCCUCCGAGCAGGACGCCCCGCAGAGCAUGGACGAGCUCCCAUCAUCGACCAGUCUUGUCCGUCACCGCGGUGGCGGCACUCCAGCCGGCGUUCACGGACGCACUCGCCAAGAUCGAGCCCAGGCCGGGCCUGCUCGUCCACGACGGCUUCCUCCGGUGGGCCAAGGACAUCACCGACGAGCUCGGCAUGCCGCGGCUUGUCACCCUCGGCUUCGGCGGCUUCGCCACGUACGUCAACCGGGCAGUCACGUCACACAGGCCGCACGCACGCGUGAGCUCGCCGUCUGA